AUUAGAGGCGCGGCUGUUCAUCAGUCACGCGGGGGAGCCGCUCAAGCGGCUGUGAACCCGCGCAAAAGGGGACGCCGCCGAAAUGCCGACCCGCUUGAGGGGGAAGGCGUUGGGCGACCGGAGAAUAUCCGGCCGACUGUCACGGUCCGGGAACGGACGGUGGAGCGCUAUUG
rnacentral:ncRNA from 1 species